CCUCUUUAGUCGCCUACGAGUUGUCGUACUAAUGGUCAUGUUAGCUCGAGGCCAACUGCUGGCAAAGGUAGGCACCAGAGAGGAGCGGAAGGGGAGAAAAGGUGGCAGAGAUCUUGAACCAGGACAUCGAAGUGUCUUCAUUUUAUGAUGCGAUUUGGGUUACAGAAAAAUAGGACAUGAUUGGAUUGUCUAAUGCAGAGCCAGCCAAUCCCGUUAUCACGUUCGAUGUCCAUUGCCCAAUCGGAACAUCGGCGACGACUAUCUAAGACAACCUGAAAACUGUUCCUAUGCUGCAACCUAGACCCAUUUGCUGUCGUUGUAGUUGCUGCUUUUGCUAAUAAUCAAUAACUAGCGCACUGCCACAAAACAGAAACCUAUAUUGUUGUACAACAGUGGGCAAUCAUGAUACAUACAGCAUCGGCAAGUUCAGGCUGUAACAGUUACCAUCCACUCGUAAGUUCGUCCAUACCCCUGAACGACGUGUCUCAGAUACAGAACUAACUCGCGUAACGACUAGAUUAACUAGCACAUAACAACACAACCUAUCUGACACGAAAAAUACAAAUAGAAACGGAGUCGUUUCUAUUGGAAAGUUAAGUCCCCUGGCUAGCAGCUUUGCAGCGGUCGGCACCUCAGCGUCCUCGCCGUCUUUCGCUAGUUCUCGACGCCCAAAGCUUUGCCGCAUGUUCGUACGUCGAUAACGAUUUUCUGAUCGUUCAGUCAAAUUAGCGGACACGCCAAUAAAUGUCUUAGGCGCAAAGAACACUUACAACAUUUUUUGCCAUUAUCGAACACUCAUUGGACUCAUUUUUGUUGUCGGCGACCACUCUCCGGCCGGGUGUUGACAGGCUGGACCUGCAUCCUGUACGUGCCUAUGUUUCCCGUGUAGAAUCAAAGUGUUCCUUUUAUCAUUGGAACCUAUUUUCAUCGGCUAAUCGACGACUGGGUAACACAGCAGAGUCGUCUGCUAACCUAACGAUGUUACUGUUAUUAUUUUUGCGUUGUUGACGGGUGAGUUACGCUUCCGAGGAGUCUACCGUUGCCACUAUGCGAACAUUACAUUGAGACCCGUAAUGAAGCCUAUUGUUCAAAUACAUGCUACUUGGACAACGAGACGUUAAGCUUCACUGAAUUCGUCUUUGAAGUCGAGUAAAAGUGCCGUUAAAAAGAGACAUCAAUUUGUGCUUAAGGUGAUACUCCGUACAGGAUCGUCCUGUCGAGCUUUCGAGAUGAGUUUUUUGCAAUACGUAUGACACGGAACCUCUACUGAGUCGCAUAUAAAUAGAAGUGCAAUGUUUAUAUUGUCUUGCUCUCCGUUCGUGUCGGGAGGCGAAGUCUCGGAUUGUAACAUAUGAGAUAUAUUGAGGGGUAUUUAUUGCUUUCAACAUCACUAUGCACUCCAACAUUCACUCGACGCAUCCUCGAAAAUGGCUAAGAGAUAAAUGCUGGCCUCGAGUAAGGUACGACUGGGAAACCUGAACUUAUUCAGUACGUGUCCGCUUCCCUACAGCCUCCAUGCAAAGAUACGUAAAUUCAACAUACGUAACUAGUCCAGCGAAGCAUAGGGAUAACCAGAUGAGACAAAUUUCCUCAGCCCACACUCUGGACCCAACGGAGCAAUGAAGAAGCAAUUGAAAACUUGUGUGCGCAAACACGCUUAUCAAGCCAAAAAGAAAGGUGGCCCUGUUAUAUAAUGAUAAACCUGGAUGAAAUCAUUACGAUGUAACACACGACCGAACGAGCUAAUGUCUGCAACGACGACAUCAUAAAAUUGUUUGCCAAAUCUUUUGUUGCUUCGCGAUAACUGAUCAGUUUAUAAACUUUGUGCUUCAUUUUAGUCUGCUUGCUUUACAUGUUCCAGAUAAGGAAGAGCUGUAAGGAAGUUCAGCCAGAACGAUCUUCAGUUAUCGCUGGAUUAGCUGGCGUAAGCUCAGCUAGCGGCAAUCCACCACAAGUCGGUAGCACUUUGUGAUCCCACGAAAUUGUAGGCGAAAAUUUCCACACAAACAUUUCCGCAGUCGAGUAACCGUGUUUACAACCAUUCCAGCCGAACAAAACCCUAUUGUGUUUCUCCAUAUUAACCUGAUAACGUUCAUUUAUACCUUUAUGAGAUCCCAAGAAGCUCCAACUAUAUUCAAUAUAAUUACAAUUGGUUUGAAUUUACAGUUAUGCUCGUCGUACUCACUCAAAACUAUCAACCGGUAUCUUCUAUCACGGGCUCACUAACAGCUGCUGUAUUUAGUACAUAGUGUGUAUGUAAAUUCAACCGGUACAAAAAUGAAUGCUG